AACUUUUGGCAACGGAUCUCUUGGCUCUCGCAUCGAUGAAGAACGCAGCGAAAUGCGAUAAGUAAUGUGAAUUGCAGAUUUCAGUGAACCAUCGAAUCUUUGAACGCACCUUGCGCUCUUUGGUAUUCCGAAGAGCAUGCCUGUUUGAGUGUCAUGAAAAUAUCAACCUUGACUUGGGUUUUGUGCUCGAGUCUUGGCUUGGAUGUGGGUGCUUGCCGCUUUAACGAGCGGCUCACCUUAAAUGUAUUAGCUGGAUCUGUCUUUGAGUCUUGGUUUGACUUGGCGUAAUAAGUAUUUCGCUAAGGACAUUCUUCGGCAUGGCCUCGUUUCUGGGACGCUUGUCCGCUUUCCAAUACAAGUUCCAUUCGUGGACAUGACUUUUUAUUAUCUGGCCUCAAAUCAGGUAGGACUACCCGCUGAACUUAAGCAUAUCAAUAAGCGGAGGU
rnacentral:misc_RNA from 1 species